GCUGACAUAAGUAACGAUAAAGCGGGUGAAAAGCCCGCUCGCCGGAAGACCAAGGGUUCCUGUCCAACGUUAAUCGGGGCAGGGUGAGUCGACCCCUAAGGCGAGGCCGAAAGGCGUAGUCGAUGGGAAACGGGUUAAUAUUCCCGUACUUGGUGUUACUGCGAAGGGGGGACGGAGAAGGCUAUGUUGGCCGGGCGACGGUUGUCCCGGUUUAA
rnacentral:rRNA from 1 species